rnacentral:rRNA from 1 species
UACGCAGGGGGCUAGCGUUGCUCGGAAUCACUGGGCGUAAAGCGCACGUAGGCGGAUUGCUAAGUCAGGGGUGAAAUCCUGGAGCUCAACUCCAGAACUGCCUUUGAUACUGGCGAUCUUGAGUCCGGGAGAGGUGAGUGGAACUGCGAGUGUAGAGGUGAAAUUCGUAGAUAUUCGCAAGAACACCAGUGGCGAAGGCGGCUCACUGGCCCGGUACUGACGCUGAGGUGCGAAAGCGUGGGGAGCAAACAGG